rnacentral:lncRNA from 1 species
GUUUGGAAACCCUAGCACUAAAUUUAUUCUCAAAUUUAAAUUAUAUUUUUCUUAAUCUCGAUCAAGGUUGAGCCUACAACUAGUCUUAUAGGAGAAAAUCAGCCUUCAGCAUGACUCUUUCAUAUCCCUUUCGUGGUGCAAGUGAACAUAUAGAGGCUUGCUAGUAAUCAUUUUCCCAUUCAUCACCGAUAGUUGUUGUUGCAUUAGCAGGACUGGUUUCUGGGUUUGCUAACCAGCAUCUUCUCAUCGUCUACGAGGACAUUACCUUGUUAACAAAAGCUGUAAAUUAGCAAAUACCAUAUUUAGAAUAUUUAAGCUGUAUUAAUUCCUAAACAAUAGUCUAUAAUAUCUCACACACUAAAUGAUGAGAUAUGAUUUUCUUGUAUAUAUUCUACAAAGUUUCAAUGAAGAAUUAAGCUUUUGAGCCUCAAUUUGACAUGGUAUCAGAGCAGAAGAUCCUGUUGUAAACCCUAUAUUUUUUUUUCUCUUCUCCUGUACAAUGGAGAUUACAGACCCGAUAUCAUCAACUCUUCCCCAAAGUCCCCAGAUUCCACUAAUUCCACCCCAAAAUCCACCUCAAACCGAACACCCAGCUGCUCAGAUAGAUAUCAAAUUGAAUGGUACCAAUUAUGCUAUAUGGUCUCAAAUCAUGGAGAUGUAUAUCUCCGGGAGAGAUAAAUUGGGGUAUAUCAAUGGGGAUUUAUCCCAACCCACACCCACAGACCCAACGUUCAGACAAUGGAGAACCGAAAACUCCAUUGUCAAAGGUUGGUUAAUCAAUUCCAUGGAACCCCAUUUGAUUGGCAACUUCAUCAGAUUCCCUACCGCCCAAUUAGUGUGGGAAUCCAUUGCUACUACCUAUUUUGAUGGGUCUGACACUUCUCAAAUCUAUGAAUUGAAGAAGAAAAUCACCCAAUUGACUCAACAUGGAGGAACCCUAGAAAACUACUAUAACAAUCUCCAAGGACUGUGGAGAGAGAUCAAUUUUCGGAGACCCAACCCAAUGAAAUGUGCACAAGACAUAGCACAAUUCAACCGAAUACAACAAGAAGACAGGGUCUAUACCUUUUUAGACGGGUUGGAUGAUCGGCUGGACAAUGUGAGAGCCGAUGUCCUCCAGUUACCGUCACUACCCACCGUGGAGCAAACAUAUGCUCUUGUCCGGAAGGAAGACUCCAGGCAGUCUGUGAUGCUUGGCCACGCUGGAAUGGGUCUCAUCGCACGACGAGGAGGAGGGCGCCUGGAUGAAGCCAGCAACGGACGAAGACAGGCUGA